rnacentral:rRNA from 1 species
GACGAACGCUGGCGGCGUGCUUAACACAUGCAAGUCGAACGAAGAGCGAUGGAAGCUUGCUUCUAUCAAUCUUAGUGGCGAACGGGUGAGUAACGCGUAAUCAACCUGCCCUUCAGAGGGGGACAACAGUUGGAAACGACUGCUAAUACCGCAUACGAUCUAACCUUGGCAUCGAGGAUGGAUGAAAGGUGGCCUCUAUUUAUAAGCUAUCACUGAAGGAGGGGAUUGCGUCUGAUUAGCUAGUUGGAGGGGUAACGGCCCACCAAGGCGAUGAUCAGUAGCCGGUCUGAGAGGAUGAACGGCCACAUUGGGACUGAGACACGGCCCAGACUCCUACGGGAGGCAGCAGUGGGGAAUCUUCCGCAAUGGACGAAAGUCUGACGGAGCAACGCCGCGUGAGUGAUGACGGCCUUCGGGUUGUAAAGCUCUGUUAAUCGGGACGAAAGGCCUUCUUGCGAAUAGUGAGAAGGAUUGACGGUACCGGAAUAGAAAGCCACGGCUAAC